AAUAGUCAUGACUGUAAGUCAUUUUGGAUAAAAGUGUCUGCUAAAUGGCAUAUU
rfam:Salmo salar isolate Sally breed double haploid chromosome ssa16, whole genome shotgun sequence.